rnacentral:misc_RNA from 1 species
CAACCAGACCAAGUCAAAAUUCCUCGCCAACAUGAGCCACGAACUGCGCACCCCGCUGAACGCCAUUAUCGGGUUUUCGGAAGUGAUGGGCAGCGGCAUGUUCGGCGCGCUCGGCUCCGAGAAGUAUCAAGAGUACUGCAACGACAUCAUGACCAGCGGAAACUACCUGCUGGACGUCAUCAACGAUAUUCUCGACAUGUCGAAGAUCGA